rnacentral:rRNA from 1 species
UUGAUCCUGGCUCAGGAUGAACGCUGGCGGCGUGCCUAAUACAUGCAAGUCGAGCGAACCGAUUAAGAGCUUGCUCUUAAGAAGUUAGCGGCGGACGGGUGAGUAACACGUAGGUAACCUGCCUAUAAGACUGGGAUAACUCCGGGAAACCGGGGCUAAUACCGGAUAACAUUUUGCACCGCAUGGUGCGAAAUUGAAAGGCGGCUUCGGCUGUCACUUAUAGAUGGACCUGCGGCGCAUUAGCUAGUUGGUGAGGUAACGGCUCACCAAGGCAACGAUGCGUAGCCGACCUGAGAGGGUGAUCGGCCACACUGGGACUGAGACACGGCCCAGACUCCUACGGGAGGCAGCAGUAGGGAAUCUUCCGCAAUGGACGAAAGUCUGACGGAGCAACGCCGCGUGAACGAUGAAGGCCUUCGGGUCGUAAAGUUCUGUUGUUAGGGAAGAACAAGUGCUAGUUGAAUAAGCUGGCACCUUGACGGUACCUAACCAGAAAGCCACGGCUAACUACGUGCCAGCAGCCGCGGUAAUACGUAGGUGGCAAGCGUUAUCCGGAAUUAUUGGGCGUAAAGCGCGCGCAGGUGGUUUCUUAAGUCUGAUGUGAAAGCCCACGGCUCAACCGUGGAGGGUCAUUGGAAACUGGGAGACUUGAGUGCAGAAGAGGAAAGUGGAAUUCCAUGUGUAGCGGUGAAAUGCGUACAGAUAUGGAGGAACACCAGUGGCGAAAGCGACUUUCUGGUCUGCAACUGACACUGAAGCUCGAAAGCGUGAGGAGCAAACAGGAUUAGAUACCCUGGUAGUCCACGCCGUAAACGAUGAGUGCUAAGUGUUAGAGGGUUUCCGCCCUUUAGUGCUGAAGUUAACGCACUAAGCACUCCGCCUGGGGGAGUACGGCCGCAAGGCUGAAACUCAAAAGGAAUUGACCGGGGGCCCGCACA